UGCACUACAAUCUACUCUCCGUUACUUUGAUCAAACGGGGGUAGACGGAAGCUCGGUAUUUCCACCAGCUCAGUGGAUCAUCUGCCCUUGAAAUCUGUGCUUCUUCAAGAUCUGCCCGAAUUUAGUGUUUUGUGUUUUCAGCACGCUUGGCUAAGACUGUAAAUUCAAUUCCGAUUGCUUGCCAAACGCCUUUGUGGUUUCCCGGACAGUAGGGGGCGAUAUGAACUGAAAACAUCCAAUUCACCAAGAAGAAGAAUAAGUACAAGCACAAGAACGGUACCACAUCCGGUUCAAUGAGUUCAAGUUUUUCCGCUGUCCACAAGGCCUGUUCUCAGAGGUUGCUCAUUGCACUUGAGGUGCGGGGAGGGGGCCGCGAGUGGAUCGCUCAAACAGAUUCAUUGCGAGUGCGGGCACGUUUGGAAAUGGACGGCUUGAAAGUCAAAAUGAGUCGGAUUACUGGGCCAAAGGCGCAGCUGCCAGACUCGGAGGACAUGCGAAAGGGACGCCACCCUGAACCUACAAAUAGACAAUCACAAAAGCAGAGGAAAAAAGUUGCAAGUUGGAUGGCAGUCUGCUUGUUGCUGGGCGCCGAAGUGGUCAGCUCUUAGGAAAAACGUGGGACAGGUGUGUUGACCUGAGAGGAAAGGCAUCCGUGAGUUACACGCUCGCUCAAAGUUUGACUUCAGCACCUUGCGAAUAACAGAAAGAA